GGGGCCUAUAAUGUGAGUCGAGCGGAACGAGUUAUCUGAACCUUCGGGGGACGAUAACGGCGUCGAGCGGCGGACGGGUGAGUAAUGCCUAGGAAAUUGCCCUGAUGUGGGGGAUAACCAUUGGAAACGAUGGCUAAUACCGCAUAAUGCCUACGGGCCAAAGAGGGGGACCUUCGGGCCUCUCGCGUCAGGAUAUGCCUAGGUGGGAUUAGCUAGUUGGUGAGGUAAUGGCUCACCAAGGCGACGAUCCCUAGCUGGUCUGAGAGGAUGAUCAGCCACACUGGAACUGAGACACGGUCCAGACUCCUACGGGAGGCAGCAGUGGGGAAUAUUGCACAAUGGGCGCAAGCCUGAUGCAGCCAUGCCGCGUGUGUGAAGAAGGCCUUCGGGUUGUAAAGCACUUUCAGUCGUGAGGAAGGUGGUGUAGUUAAUAGCUGCAUUAUUUGACGUUAGCGACAGAAGAAGCACCGGCUAACUCCGUGCCAGCAGCCGCGGUAAUACGGAGGGUGCGAGCGUUAAUCGGAAUUACUGGGCGUAAAGCGCAUGCAGGUGGUUUGUUAAGUCAGAUGUGAAAGCCCGGGGCUCAACCUCGGAAUAGCAUUUGAAACUGGCAGACUAGAGUACUGUAGAGGGGGGUAGAAUUUCAGGUGUAGCGGUGAAAUGCGUAGAGAUCUGAAGGAAUACCGGUGGCGAAGGCGGCCCCCUGGACAGAUACUGACACUCAGAUGCGAAAGCGUGGGGAGCAAACAGGAUUAGAUACCCUGGUAGUCCACGCCGUAAACGAUGUCUACUUGGAGGUUGUGGCCUUGAGCCGUGGCUUUCGGAGCUAACGCGUUAAGUAGACCGCCUGGGGAGUACGGUCGCAAGAUUAAAACUCAAAUGAAUUGACGGGGGCCCGC
rnacentral:rRNA from 1 species